rnacentral:rRNA from 1 species
UGGCGGCNGGCUUACACAUGCAAGUCGAGCCGGAGAUGAGGUGCUUGCACCUUAUCUUAGCGGCGGACGGGUGAGUAAUGCUUAGGAAUCUGCCUAUUAGUGGGGGACAACAUUCCGAAAGGAAUGCUAAUACCGCAUACGUCCUACGGGAGAAAGCAGGGGAUCUUCGGACCUUGCGCUAAUAGAUGAGCCUAAGUCGGAUUAGCUAGUUGGUGGGGUAAAGGCCUACCAAGGCGACGAUCUGUAGCGGGUCUGAGAGGAUGAUCCGCCACACUGGGACUGAGACACGGCCCAGACUCCUACGGGAGGCAGCAGUGGGGAAUAUUGGACAAUGGGGGGAACCCUGAUCCAGCCAUGCCGCGUGUGUGAAGAAGGCCUUAUGGUUGUAAAGCACUUUAAGCGAGGAGGAGGCUACUGAGACUAAUACUCUUGGAUAGUGGACGUUACUCGCAGAAUAAGCACCGGCUAACUCUGUGCCAGCAGCCGCGGUAAUACAGAGGGUGCGAGCGUUAAUCGGAUUUACUGGGCGUAAAGCGUGCGUAGGCGGCUUUUUAAGUCGGAUGUGAAAUCCCCGAGCUUAACUUGGGAAUUGCAUUCGAUACUGGGAAGCUAGAGUAUGGGAGAGGAUGGUAGAAUUCCAGGUGUAGCGGUGAAAUGCGUAGAGAUCUGGAGGAAUACCGAUGGCGAAGGCAGCCAUCUGGCCUAAUACUGACGCUGAGGUACGAAAGCAUGGGGAGCAAACAGGAUUAGAUACCCUGGUAGUCCAUGCCGUAAACGAUGUCUACUAGCCGUUGGGGCCUUUGAGGCUUUAGUGGCGCAGCUAACGCGAUAAGUAGACCGCCUGGGGAGUACGGUCGCAAGACUAAAACUCAAAUGAAUUGACGGGGGCCCCGCACAAGCGGUGGAGCAUGUGGGUUUAAAUCGAUGCAACGCGAAAAAACCUUACCUGGCCCUUGACAUACUAAAAACUUUCCAAAAAUGGAUUUGGUGCCCUCCGGGAA